rnacentral:rRNA from 1 species
GACGAACGCUGGCGGCGUGCCUAAUACAUGCAAGUAGAACGCACAGUUUAUACCGUUGCUUGCUGCACCAUAGACUGUGAGUUGCGAACGGGUGAGUUACGCGUAGCUAACCUUCCUGGUAGCGGCGGGUAACUAUUGGUAACACUAGCUAGUAGCGCCUAAUAUUUAUUAUUGCAUGGUAAUUAAUUGAAAGGUGCAAUUGCACCACUACCAGAUGGACUUGCGUUGUAUUAGCUAGUAGGCGAGGUAUCGGCGCAUCUAGGCGCCGAUACAGAGCCCACCUGAGAGGGUGAUCGGCCGCACUGGGAGUGAGACACGGCACAGACUCCUACGGGAGGGAGCAGUAGGGAAUCGGCAGCAAUGGACGAAAGACAGACCGAGCAACGCGGCGUGAGUGAAGAAGGAUUUCGGGUCGUAGAGCUCUGUUGUAAGGGAAGAACGGGUGUGCGAGUGGAAAGUACACACAGUGACGGUAACUGACCAGGAAGGAACGGCUAACUACGUG